rnacentral:lncRNA from 1 species
AAUCUCUCUUCAUGCUUGAUGGCCCAGAAUAACAGAUCCUCUAGGAUAACAGAUCCUCCGUUCCCAGUGGCUUAGUCCUACUUAAUUUCUCACUGAUACUACAUGUCCAGUGGGCCUGAGACCUCUGUAUUACUUGUACCCAGCAAGACAAAUUUUGGCCUGCAUUUAAUCCCAUGGAAGAAUCAUUCCCCUAACCACACUCCUGCUGCCUCAUAAAGGAGUAUUCUGAGAGUUAAUCAUGCAGAGUCUCCCCUACAACGGCUGGAGGAAGUAAGAGAAAACCUUUGUCAGGUGUCUACUAGUUCAAGAACUAUGGAUGCAUGCUCUCUACCUUUUCCUCAUUUUAUCCUCAAAAAUCCAUGGAAAGGUAGGUACUAGGAUCCCCAUGUCUUAGCUGAAAAAACAGACUGAGUUAUUUAGUAAUUUUCAAAAUGCAAUGCAGAUAGCAAAGGACCUG